AACUAAGAGAAGAGAACCCAAAAGGUGUGCUCCAAGAUGAUAUGGGGAAAUUUGUGAAAGUGUUGGCUGAGGCUAUUUCAGCAAAUAGGCUACCCAUUCCAGAGCCUACAAUCUUUAGUGGGGAUCCACUAAAGUUUAAUCAUUGGAAGACAUCCUUUCAGGCCCUAAUUGAGAGGAAAAAUAUUCCAACCACAGAGAAAAUCUUCUUUCUUCAGAAAUAUGUUGGAGGCUCAGCUAGAGAGGCCUUAGAAGGUCAUUUUCUGAUUGGUUCAGAAAAUUCAUAUGAUACAGCAUGGGACCUGCUAAACGAAAGAUAUGGCCAGCCUUUUGUAAUUGCCAAAGCAUUCCGAGACAAAUUACAUGCAUGGCCAAAAUUAGCCCCUAGGGAUAGCACAGAGUUAAGAAAGUUUGUAGACUUUCUACAUAGUUGUGAAUGUGCCAUGAAUCACAAUGAGAGUCUUCAUGUUCUUAAUGAUGGAAUUGAGAAUCAAAGCCUUACCGCCAAGUUACCUGACUGGUUAAGUUCCAGAUGGAAUCGAAAGGCCACCCAAUACCAACUGGAACAUGAGAAGUUUCCAAACUUUAGUUAUUUUGUGACAUUCCUAUCAACAGAGGCAAGUAUAGCUUGCAACCCUAUAACAUCUUAUCACGCGUUACGACGAAGUGAAAUUGAUAAAGCAAAGCCCAAGAACCAAAGCGUGUACUUCAAGAGCCAAACUGUAGGUGCCAAGACCUUUACAACCACCUCCAGUGAAAAGAACAUUACCUCAUGUGUGUUCUGUAAGAAAUUAGGACAUAGUAUACCCAAAUGUCACAAAUUCAAUGAAAAGCCAGUUGCUGACAGAGUCAAUUAUAUUUACGGUGAGAGACUGUGCUUCGGCUGUUUAAGCCCUGGACAUCAAUCCAAGAGCUGCAGUAACCGGAUGGUCUGUGACUCCUGUUCAAAAAGACACCCCACAUGUCUACAUGAAGACCGUUCAAAACAAGAAAAAGAACCAAACAGAGAUCAUUGUAAGGAAACACGUUACAGUAAAGAAAGAAAGUCACACCCGAAACAAGUACAAGACAUCGUCAAGGA
rnacentral:lncRNA from 1 species